rnacentral:rRNA from 1 species
UGAGGAAUAUUGGGCAAUGGGGGCAACCCUGACCCAGCCAUGUCGCGUGAGUGAAGAAGGUUUUCGGAUUGUAAAGCUCUUUCGGAUGUGAAGAUAAUGACGGUAGCAUCUAAAGAAGCCCCGGCAAACUUCGUGCCAGCAGCCGCGGUAAUACGAAGGGGGCAAGCGUUGUUCGGAAUUACUGGGCGUAAAGGGUGUGUAGGCGGUUAAGUAAGAUAGCGGUGAAAUCCCGGGGCUCAACCUCGGAAUUGCCGUUAUGACUAUUGAGCUAGAAUUAUGGAGAGGAUAGCGGAAUACCCAGUGUAGAGGUGAAAUUCGUAGAUAUUGGGUAGAACACCAGUGGCGAAGGC